ACCUGUGCCUGAGCGCAUGAACUAUGAGCAGGAAAAAAUAUUUUUCCUGCUAACUUCACAUUUUGGGCUUUUUUCCUGCUAGCUUCACAAUAUUGAGCUUUUUGCCGGCUGAUUUCACAGGUCGAGCUUUUUUCCUGCUGAGUUCGAAUCCAUACAGUUUCGCGUAGUGAUGUUUUUAAUUUCAAAUUAUUUUAAUCAAAAUGAAUAGUAUGUACCAUAAUAAGUGAAAUAAUGUCUGGAAUGUGUCUAUAUAUGACAGCGACGAAAUCAGCAGCAAUCGCUAGGAGCAAAGUAUAGCCACGUCAUGGGUAUAAAAAGUACAUAUUUAGUGCGGACUUUUAACGAAAUCUUGAGCCGAAGAAAAAAGAAGGACAUCAGGCCAUUUCCAGAUAAUCUGUUUAUUUCGGCGUUUCUGACUGAAGAGAAAUCCGUGGCGCAAUGACCAAAUAUCUGCACGAAGCGCACCCCAAAGAGCUGAAUCAUUUUAAGUCGAUUAGCAGCUGUUCGGAUGCUCUGGCCGAGGCUCUGGUCCUUUUGUUUGGAAAUCCGAUAAAGGAUCUAAUGUGUUCUAACUCUGAUCAAUUUUAACACAGAUAACUAAUAAAUAAUGAAAUAAACAUGCUGAAACUGUA